GAUGAACGCUAGCGGCAGGCCUAACACAUGCAAGUCGAGGGGUAGAAGUUGCUUGCAACUUUGAGACCGGCGCACGGGUGCGUAACGCGUAUGCAAUCUACCUUUUACAGAGGGAUAGCCCAGAGAAAUUUGGAUUAAUACCUCAUAGUAUCUUCGGAAGGCAUCUUCUGAUUAUUAAAGUUCCAACGGUAAAAGAUGAGCAUGCGUCCUAUUAGCUAGUUGGUGUGGUAACGGCACACCAAGGCUACGAUAGGUAGGGGUCCUGAGAGGGAGAUCCCCCACACUGGUACUGAGACACGGACCAGACUCCUACGGGAGGCAGCAGUGAGGAAUAUUGGUCAAUGGGCGCAAGCCGGAACCAGCCAUGCCGCGUGCAGGAAGACGGUCCUAUGGAUUGUAAACUGCUUUUGUACGGGAAGAAACACUCCCUCGUGAGGGAGCUUGACGGUACCGUAAGAAUAAGGAUCGGCUAACUCCGUGCCAGCCGCCGCCGUAACAC
rnacentral:rRNA from 1 species